GUGGGGAAUCUUGCACAAUGGGGGCAACCCUGAUGCAGCGACGCCGCGUGAGCGAUGAAGCCCUUCGGGGUGUAAAGCUCUUUCGGCAGGGACGAUAAUGACGGUACCUGCGGAAGAAGCUGCGGCUAACUACGUGCCAGCAGCCGCGGUAAUACGUAGGCAGCGAGCGUUGUUCGGAGUUACUGGGCGUAAAGAGUAUGUAGGCGGCCGUCCAAGUCUGGUGUGAAAUCUCCCGGCUCAACUGGGAGGGUGCGCCGGAAACUGGGCGGCUGGAGUGUGGGAGAGGGAAGCGGAAUUCCUGGUGUAGCGGUGAAAUGCGUAGAUAUCAGGAGGAACACCGGCGGUGUAGACGGCUUCCUGGACCACGACUGACGCUGAGAUACGAAAGCGUGGGGAGCAAACAGGAUUAGAAACCCCAGUAGUCC
rnacentral:rRNA from 1 species